rnacentral:lncRNA from 1 species
AAUGGCGGGCGCCUGUACUCCCGGUCGGAAAGGAAAGGGAGCCCAGGUUACCCCGUCUUCUCGUCCUCUCAAAUUAUAGCUAGACGCUGCAAUUUGAGUUAUUGAGCUCUUCUCUGGUGAUUUGAUGCCGAUCCUAGGGUCCCACUGACCGACAGACUCUCGAUAUAUGUCCUCAUUUUCGUUUCCGGCGAAGUUUUUAUAGUAAUUGACAUGAAUGACAGCUUCUUUUUGCUUAUGGAUGUCUUCUUGCAGAUUAGGGUUUUGGGUCCUUCACGUUUGGCCUCGAUACGGCGGUAUCCACUAGGGUUUAUGAUUGCCUAGUGGAUACGUUGUGACAUUAUGAUAUCUGUUUAUAGGAAAUCAUUUCUGCUGAACAAUUUUAUUGUCCGCAAGGAAAGCCUCUAAAUCUCAAUGCUAGAUGACGAAAGUUGAAAUUACCUUUCUCUUUGACGAUAUCUCUAUAGGAUGUUGUAGAACUCGGUUGAAGCACUCAAAACUGGAUACCUAAUGCCCCACUUAGUUCUUUCUGGGAUGUUUAUAUUGCGGCUAAGAAUUCAACUUGGUGGUACUGAAUCUUGGUUUUGCAGUUGACUACAUGGGAACAAGUGAGUUGGAGCAUAUCCGUGCUUUCUGUCCAAGAGAGAUAAUCGAGAUGUUUGACUAGAGAACAACCAGUAAUUACUGCCUUAUCGAACCUCUUUUGGACCAAAAGUGAUACAUUAGACAUUAGGAUCCUUGUAGGAGACAACUUUUGAAGACUGUUGCAUUCAAAAAGUGUACUGAUUCAGUAUAUUGGGCUUUCUUUUUUCAGGGUGAAGUGUCCGAUCAACCUUAGUCAAAGCAUAUUGGAAGUGUGAUGAUUCACUUAAGCUCAUCCUUUUGGAGGUCUGUGUUUGCAGGUGGUUCCUAUGAUGAAUGAUUAAUGGAAAUCAUCAAGGAUAAAUGAUUCAACAAAUAUAAGUUUCCUUUUCUGUUUUGCAGUACUUCAAAUUAUAUUUUAAGAUUGUUCACUGAUUUUAAUGGUUUUUUUGAGGAAUGAUAUGGUAUAUAUUUUCUUCUUGAAUGUACUUGCCACUUCUAAGAAGGUAAAUUACAAGAUGCUGUGGAGAUUAUAGUUAUUGUUUACUAUUUUCUCAUUGUAGCUCAACAUAUCAUUUUAUUGGCAUUAAUUAUAAACCAAGAUUGAUGAAAA